GCGGGCGUGGCGGAAUCGGCAGACGCGCUGGACUUAGGAUCCAGUGGGAGACUAUCCCUUGGAGGUUCAAAUCCUCUCGCCCGCACCA
rnacentral:tRNA from 1 species